rnacentral:rRNA from 1 species
UACGUAGGGUGCAAGCGUUGUCCGGAAUUAUUGGGCGUAAAGAGCUCGUAGGCGGUUUGUCGCGUCUGCUGUGAAAACUCGGGGCUUAACUCCGGGCCUGCAGUGGGUACGGGCAGACUAGAGUGCGGUAGGGGAGACUGGAAUUCCUGGUGUAGCGGUGAAAUGCGCAGAUAUCAGGAGGAACACCGGUGGCGAAGGCGGGUCUCUGGGCCGUAACUGACGCUGAGGAGCGAAAGCGUGGGGAGCGAAUAGG